UACGUAGGGUGCGAGCGUUGUCCGGAAUUACUGGGCGUAAAGAGCGCGCAGGUGGUUGAUUAAGUCUGAUGUGAAAGCCCACGGCUUAACCGUGGAGGGUCAUUGGAAACUGGUCGACUUGAGUGCAGAAGAGGGAAGUGGAAUUCCAUGUGUAGCGGUGAAAUGCGUAGAGAUAUGGAGGAACACCAGUGGCGAAGGCGGCUUUCUGGCCAGUUACUGACGCUCAUGCGCGAAAGCUGGGGUAGCGAACCGGAUUAGAUA
rnacentral:rRNA from 1 species